rnacentral:lncRNA from 1 species
AUGCCCUCUCUCCAGCAGGGACAGAGGUUCCCAAAGGUGGCACCAUCAGUCCUUAAACUUUGGGAGCCCACCGUGCUGCUCAGACCACAGCCUGGUGCUAGGGCUGGAAGGAGUGAACGGUGUGAGGGAGAAGCUGCCCCCUCCCCAUGUCCCUGGGGCUGCGGCAGCCCGGAGGGUUGGGAAGGGGCAGGGGCUCCAGGGGGGAAGCACAGGCAGGAGGGGUGCAGGACUUUGAGGGGAUUUGGGCAGCAGAGCGCCCUGAUGCUCACGCAGGUCCACAAAGGGCUAAGGCAAAGUGCACAGAAGCGCUUCUUUUUUUCUCAGCGCUGGCACUCGUUGGGCCGGCUGGUGUUGGUUCCGUUCCUAGAGGGCCAGCGGGGUGAAUUUGGGCCAACGCUCCUCUUCCUCAGCCCAAGUGGGGUGCAGCCUGCGCAUCCCCAAAACGGGCACGUCCACUGCAUUGCCGGUGCUCGGCAGAGGCUGGACAGGGGGCUGCAGCUCCCGUUCGUGGAGGGGAGCGGGGGGGAGUUUGGGGUUGGGGCUGGCAGGAGAACUGCAGAGCCUGCUCCGGGACGGGGACAGAGCCCCAGGACGGGGACAGGGCCCCAGGACAGGGCCCCAGGACGAGGACAGAGCCCCGGGCUGGCACCAGCCGCUGCGGGCUGCCCCCGACUUGCUGCGGGAUGUGCCCCCACCUGCCGCAGGGUGCCCCCCACCCGCGUGUGGUGCCCCCAGCCCCCCGCAGGACACCCCCCCAGACCUGCUGCGGUGCGGGACGCCCCCCGCAUUUACCAGUCCGCUCCCGGAGGCUGCCCCCGCAGCCCCCCCUGGGCGCUGCCCCCGGCGCUUUGCGGGAUGCUCUUCGCCAGCCCCGGGACGCCCCCCCCAGCCCCUCCGCGGGCUGCCCCCCGAGCCGUGGCGAGCCCCCGUUGCCUCGGGUUCUCCCCCCACCCCCCCGGGCUCCACCAAGCCCCGUGGCUCGGAGGGGUGCGCGCAGCAUCCCGCUGCCGGGGCGGGGGGGACUCACGGCGCGGCGCACGGCAGCCCCCAGCUUUAUAA